ACACACCGCCCGUCACUCUCCCCGAGCCUAAAAAACUUCAUUAAUAAUAAAUUUCACUCAGCGAAAGGGGAGGCAAGUCGUAACAUGGUAAGUGUACCGGAAGGUGUACUUGGAUAAAUCAAAAUGUGGCUAAAUAGAUAAAGCACCUCUCUUAC
rnacentral:rRNA from 1 species